rnacentral:rRNA from 1 species
GAUGAACGCUGGCGGCGUGCCUAAUACAUGCAAGUCGAGCGCACAAACGUGGUUCUUGCACCUAUUGCGUGAGCGGCGGACGGGUGAGUAACACGUGGGUAACCUGCCUUUGAGCGUGGGAUAACUUCGGGAAACCGAAGCUAAUACCGGAUAAUAACUUGAAACACAAGGUUCAACUGUGCAAGAGGCAUUUGCUUACCCUAAUGCGUAUCUCGGGGUGUAUUAGCUAGUUGGGAAGGUAAAGGCCUACCAAGGCGAUGAUUGGUAGCCGAACUGAGAGGUGGAUCGGCCACACUGGAACUGAGACACGGUCCAGACUCCUACGGGAGGCAGCAGUGGGGAAUAUUGGGCAAUGGGCGAAAGCCUGACGGAGCAACGCCGCGGGGGGGAGGAAGGUCUUCGGAUGGUAAAACCCGUUGAUUAGGGAGGAAGAGAGGUAGAAUAAAAAAUUCAUGUCUUGACGGUACCUACACAGAAAGCAACGGCUAACUACGUG